UUAUAGGUAGGGGAGCGUUCCACUUUGGGUGAAGUCUUUAUGGAAAUAAGGAUGGACAAAGCGGAAGUGAGAAUGUCGGCUUGAGUAACGAAAACAUUGGUGAGAAUCCAAUGCCCCGAAAACCUAAGGGUUCCUCCACUAGGUUCGUCCGUGGGGGGUGAGUCAGGACCUAAGGCGAGGCCGAAAGGCGUAGUCGAUGGUAAACAGGUUAAUAUUCCUGUACUUAUUCUAUUGUUGAACAGAGGGACGAAGGAGGCUAAACUAGGUCUGACUAUGGAUUGCAGUGGAAGCGUUUAGGCGUUGAUAGGUAGAAGAAAAGCUAUCCUUGAGCUAAGGCGUGAUCCCUAAAGACGGCUUCGGUUGUUUUUAGCUAGUGAUGCCAAACUUCCAAGAAAAGCUCUAACAUUUUAGAUAGAAUAACCUGUACCUGAAACCGACACAGGUAGGUUAGUAGAGAAUACUAAGGGGCGCGAGAGAACUCUCUCUAAGGAACUCGGCAAAUUGGCCCCGUAACUUCGGAAGAAGGGGCGCCUUUGAAAAAAGGUCGCAGUGACCAGGCCCAAGCAACUGUUUAUCAAAAACACAGGUCUCCGCAAAGUCGUAAGACAAUAUAUGGGGGCUGACGCCUGCCCAGUGCCGGAAGGUUAAGGAAGUUGGUUAGGGUGUAAACUCGAAGCUGACGACCGAAGCCCCGGUGAACGGCGGUCGUAACUAUAACGAUCCUAAGGUAGCGAAAUUCAUUGCCAAGUAAGUUUUGGCCCGCACGAAAGGCGUAAUGAUUUGGGCACUGUCUCGGAGAGAGGCUCGGUGAAAUAGACUUGUUCGUGAAGAUGCGGACUACCUACACCUGGACAGAAAGACCCUAUGAAGCUUGACUGUAUCCUGGAAUUGGGUUUGGGCUUUUCUUGCGCAGCCUAGGUGGGAGGCUAUGAGUAGUACGUUCCGGCGUGCUAGGAGCCAUCAUUGAGAGACCACUCUGGAAGAGCUAGAAUCCUAAUGGCGAUCCUUGAAUCAGGACGCUUGACAGUUUCAGGUGGGCAGUUUGUUUGGGGCGAACACCUCCUAAAAGGUAACGGAGGUGUGCAAAGGUUCCCUCAGCCUGGACGGAAAUCAGGCAUUGAGUGUAAAAGCAAAAGGGGGCUUGACUGCAAGACCUACAAGUCGAGCAGGGGCGAAAGCCGGCUUUAGUGAUCCGACGGUUCCGUGUGGAAGGGCCGUCGCUCAACGGAUAAAAGUUACUCUAGGGAUAACAGGCUGAUCUUCCCCAAGAGUCCACAUCGACGGGAAGGUUUGGCACCUCGAUGUCGGCUCAUCACAUCCUCGGUCUGCAGUAGGUCCGAAGGGUUGGGCUGUUCGCCCAUUAAAGUGGUACGUGAGCUGGGUUCAAAACGUCGUGAGACAGUUUGGUCCAUAUCCGGUGUAAGCGUUAGAAUAUUGAGGGGUGCCUUUCUUAGUACGAGAGGAUUGGAAAGGACAUGCCUAUGGUGUACCUGUUCUCGCUCCAGCGGGAAACGCAGGGUAGCUACGCAUGGUUUGAGCAGCGCUGACAGCAUAUAAGUGCGAAACGUUCCCCAAGAUGAAUAUUCUCCAUUAGGCCGCGGGUAGACAAUCCGUUCGAUAGGUAUCACGUGUAAGAGCAGCAAUGCUUUAAGCUUAGAUAUACUAAAGGCCAAUUGAUUUUGAC
rnacentral:rRNA from 1 species